AUGAAUUCCAUUCCAGCCAUUACAUUGAGCCCGUCCUACUAUAGCUCCUCCCACCAGCCUCCACUGACUUGUUUAUAUCCCUGACAGAUAUUAUGUAUGUGUAUUUCUCAGGUAUUCUUGCCAUUAUGUUUAUGUAUAUAAUAUUCCUUACCACUCUUUAUGCAUAUUCUUUCCUGUAUGUUUAUGCCUAUUUACAGUUAUUUCCUAUUGGACAAUGUCAUUACUAUGUUAUUGGUGUUUCAUUGUAUGUCUAUUUCCUUUUCUCCUAUAGAAACAACAUGUUUGAUUCCGUUCCAUGAAUUCCAUUCCAGCCAUUACAAUGAGCCCGUCCUACUAUAGCUCCUCCCACCAGCCUCCACUGACUUGUUUAUAUCCUGUAUGUUUAUGCCUAUUUACAGUUAUUUCCUAUUGGACAAUGUCAUUACUAUGUUAUUGGUGUUUCAUUGUAUGUCUAUUUCCUUUUGUCCUAUAGAAACCACAACUAGGACCACACAUACUUAUGCUACAAUCUAUUGUGCUUCUGGCUCAGUUUCAGUUUAAAGUGUUAAUGCAGGGAUACAGGAGUGAUGGAGGUAGAUGUGUAUAGGGGUAAGGUGACUAUAUACAAAGUCAGUUCCAGUACCAUAUUUACAAUGUGCAGGGAUACUGGAGUGAUGGAGGUAGAUGUGUGUAGGGGUAAAGGUGACUCGGCCUCAGGAUAGAUGAUAAACAGAGUAGCAGCAGCAUAUUUGGUAAUUGUAUGUGAGUGUUUGUGUGUGUAGAGUCAGUAUAAAUGUGUGUGCAUGUUAUAUGUGUGUGAGCAGAUGAAGUGUGUGUGUGUGUUGGAGUGUCAAUGUGUGUGAGUAUGUAGAGUACUGUGAGUGUGCAUAGUGACUAAAUGCAAGAGUCAACUCAGAUAUUCUGUGUAGCCAUGUUGUUAGCUAUUUAGUUAUUUAUUUAGCUUAUGGCUUGGGUAAAGAAGCCGUUCAGGAGCUUAUUGCUGUCAGACUUGUUGUUCUGGUCCCGCUUGCAGUGCGGAAGCAGAGAGAACAGUCUUUGGCUUGGGUGGCUGGAGUCUUUAACAAUUGUCUGGUCCUUCCUUUCACACCGCCUGAUAUAGAGAUCCUCGAUGGCAGGGAGCCCGGCGCCAGUCUUGUACCGGGCUGUCCGCACCACCUUCUGUAGCGCCAUGCGAUUGAGGUCGGUGCUGUUGCCAUGCCAAGCAGUGAUGCAGCCAGUAAAGAUGCUCUCAAUGGUGCAGCUAUAUAACUUUUUGAGGAUCUGAGGGCCUGUCAUGCCAAAUAGUGUCCCCCUGCCAAAAAGGGCCCACCCCUGCGUCACAAUGAUAUUCAAUAGCUUCCGUUGCUGGGGCUUUUGCCAGAACUUGCAAAAUCCUUACCUCAGAAUCGCUCUCCAAGGAAGGUGUUUUUGACGGUGAUUACCUGCUCACUAGCUACCGCUUCAGGAGACCGAAAAGACUGUGAAGUACUCUGAAGGCACCACUGAUCUCGACAAGGGGCGCAACAUUCGUUGCGGGCAGAGAAAUUCACAAUUCGGGUUAAAGUUAAGCAGGACCUAGGGGUUCUGCCCAACACCUAGACAUGGAUCCACCUGAUGUCCUCCAUUACCUGUUCUCCAGGACCUAGGGGUUCUGCCCAACACCCAGACAUGGAUCCACCUGAUGUCCUCCAUUACCUGUUCUCCAGGACCUAGGGGUUCUGCCCAACACCCAGACGUGGAUCCACCUGAUGUCCUCCAUUACCUGUUCUCCAGGACCUAGGGGUUCUGCCCAACACCCAGACAUGGAUCCACCUGAUGUCCUCCAUUACCUGUUCUCCAGGACCUAGGGGUUCUGUCCAACACCUAGACAUGGAUCCACCUGAUGUCCUCCAUUACCUGUUCUCCAGGACCUAGGGGUUCUGCCCAACACCCAGACAUGGAUCCACCUGAUGUCCUCCAUUACCUGUUCUCCAGGACCUAGGGGUUCUGUCCAACACCUAGACAUGGAUCCACCUGAUGUCCUCCAUUACCUGUUCUCCAGGACCUAGGGGUUCUGCCCAACACCCAGACAUGGAUCCACCUGAUGUCCUCCAUUACCUGUUCUCCAGGACCUAGGGGUUCUGCCCAACACCUAGACAUGGAUCCACCUGAUGUCCUCCAUUACCAACCACCCUCCAACUGUUUAUUACAUCAUCUACAGCUACUGUUAUUGUCAUGUUGUCAUUAUCUGCUAAGAAAGAGCAAGAAAACUAUCAUACUGGGCACAUAAUAUGAGAUACACAGAUUAACUAAAAGCACUAGCACUGCAAACACUCAGAACAAAGAGAAUAGCAGUGCCUGGACUUUGCAGUCUUCCUCUUCAAGUCCCCCUUCUGAGACUGGCUGCCUGUUGAGAACAAGUGACAGCCAGAACCUCCCACCCACACAGCAACCACCUCCUCUGUAUUCCACACACCAGAAGUCAGUAUUUUAGACUAUGAUUGCCAUGUGAGUACACAACAAAUCUGUGAAAAUAAAUGAAUGACACAACUGUACCAAAAAACUACCAAAGUUUAAGUAUUAAAAUCUUAAAUAAUGCCAGGUUGGU